UACGUAGGGUGCAAGCGUUAAUCGGAAUUACUGGGCGUAAAGCGUGCGCAGGCGGUUGUGCAAGACAGAUGUGAAAUCCCCGGGCUCAAACUGGGAAUUGCAUUUGUGACUGCACGGCUAGAGUAUGGCAGAGGGGGGUAGAAUUCCACGUGUAGCAGUGAAAUGCGUAGAGAUGUGGAGGAAUACCGAUGGCGAAGGCAGCCCCCUGGGCCAAUACUGACGCUCAUGCACGAAAGCGUGGGGAGUAAACAGG
rnacentral:rRNA from 1 species